CAGCCGCCGCGGUAAUACGUAGGUGGCAAGCGUUGUCCGGAAUUAUUGGGCGUAAAGCGCGCGCAGGCGGAUCAGUCAGUCUGUCUUAAAAGUUCGGGGCUUAACUCCGUGAUGGGAUGGAAACUGCUGAUCUAGAGUAUCGGAGAGGAAAGUGGAAUUCCUAGUGUAGCGGUGAAAUGCGUAGAUAUUAGGAAGAACACCAGUGGCGAAGGCGACUUCUGGACGAAAACUGACGCUGAGGCGCGAAAGCCAGGGGAGCGAACGGGAUUAGAUACCCCCGUAGUCCCUGUCUCUUAUACAC
rnacentral:rRNA from 1 species